rnacentral:lncRNA from 1 species
AGAUUCUUAUAAGAUUCUUAUAAGAUUCUUAUAAGAGUAUUUCGUAGGGGCGUGACAUCGUGAAUCGUAAGGCCAGACUAGCCUGGGAGUUGUACCUUAAGAUGGAGACGUCUGGCGAAUCGUUCAGCCUGCUGUAGCUCAUUGCCAACGACGGCUACAAGAUGGCCAGUUCUACUAUGCGACCAAGGCUUUCGAUGUCCUGGAAAGAUUGGACCCCAAUCCUGAAUACUGGGAAGGCAAGCGAGGGGCGUGCGUGGGCGCAUUCCAGCAGAUCAUAGCUGGUCAUGAACCAAGAGAAACACUGCGAGACAUCCUCCAAAUCUUGCGCAACACC